UUCAUGAACGGGACGGUAUUUUAAUAUCGUCUCGUCGUUGAGGAAGAGGUAUAACAACGUCGGCGAGAUAUCGUUUCAUUCGUCAUUUGUCUCCGUUGACGAAUCGAUUGUUGCUCGUCCACAU